UUGAAAAAAAAAAAUUUUUUUUGUAAUAUUUCAAUUGGAAAACAUCAAAUCAGUCACGUGUAUUUUUAAUCAAUUUAAACAGCAGUCAUUUGUUAUUAAGGUGUCCAAAAUGCCUAGUGGACCACGUUUGAACAUCGGCUGCCCAAGACAUGUAAGCCAGCAAGGAGUGUAUUUACACAACUUAAGAAAAGAAAGACGAACUGUUAUAAGAGAAAAUGCUAGAUUGAAGCAACGCGUGGACACACGAAGAUCAUUGGCCUCAUACAAUCGCUUGGCAUUCCAAUAUGAUCCCACUGCGAACUCCUGUGAUGAUGAAAAUAAAAAUAUUGGACCAAUGACGACUAUAUGCCGAUAUUGCAAUGCGUUAAAGUUCAAAAGGUAAACGGCGGGAUUGUGCUGCGCAAGUGGAAAAGUCAAACUGGGUCUCUUACUUACACCACACAGCCACUGAAAACAUUGUUUGAUGGAAAGAUACACAAAGAUACUACACACAACUUCAACAUAAAGAUACAGCACACAAAACCAAUUACUCAAACCAACACAAUGAAUUGCAACACAUAACAACUACUGUUCAAGCAUUAAACACAACUGUAGGUAUAAAUUCCAAGGAUAGAGUUUCAAGGGAUCGGACCCUUGGAAAUACGAGACAAACAGCAUGGUCUAAAACCGAUCCCCUGCAGCCUAACACAUGUAAAGACAUAAAUGGUGCGCUUGUCGCACUUGAGAAAGGGUCGCAUAGCAUGUCAGGUGCAGUGCGUUGAUAAGUAGUUUUAAAUAGGUUUAGUUUUCAUGUAUCCUACUUAUAAGAGAACUUCACCAAAUAAAAUCAGUUUCUAAGCGGAA